GAUGAACGCUGGCGGCGUGCCUAAUACAUGCAAGUCGAGCGAACAGACGAGGAGCUUGCUCCUCUGACGUUAGCGGCGGACGGGUGAGUAACAUGUGGAUAACCUACCUAUAAGACUGGGAUAACUUCGGGAAACCGGAGCUAAUACCGGAUAAUAUAUUGACCCGCAUGGUUCAAUAGUGAAAGACGGUUUUGCUGUCACUUAUAGAUGGAUCCGCGCCGCAUUAGCUAGUUGGUAAGGUAACGGCUUACCAAGGCAACGAUGCGUAGCCGACCUGAGAGGGUGAUCGGCCACACUGGAACUGAGAAACGGUCCAGACUCCUACGGGAGGCAGCAGUAGGGAAUCUUCCGCAAUGGGCGAAAGCUUGACGGAGCAACGCCGCGUGAGUGAUGAAGGUCUUCGGAUCGUAAAACUCUGUUAUUAGGGAAGAACAAAUGUGUAAGUAACUAUGCACGUCUUGACGGUACCUAAACAGAAAGCCACGGCUAACUACGUG
rnacentral:rRNA from 1 species